UGAGGAAUAUUGGUCAAUGGGCGAGAGCCUGAACCAGCCAAGUCGCGUGAGGGAAGACGGUCCUAUGGAUUGUAAACCUCUUUUGCCGGGGAGCAAAGAGCGGCACGUGUGCCGCGCCGAGAGUACCCGGAGAAAAAGCAUCGGCUAACUCCGUGCCAA
rnacentral:rRNA from 1 species